rnacentral:rRNA from 1 species
UACAGAGGUCUCAAGCGUUGUUCGGAUUCAUUGGGCGUAAAGGGUGCGUAGGCGGCGCGGUAGGUGGGUUGUGAAAACUGGAGGCUCAACCUUCAGACGUCGACCCAAACCCCCUGGCUAGAGUCCGGAAGAGGAGAGUGGAAUUCCUGGUGUAGCGGUGAAAUGCGCAGAUAUCAGGAAGAACACCCGUGGCGAAGGCGGCUCUCUGGGACGGUACUGACGCUGAGACGCGAAAGCGUGGGGAGCGAACAGG